rnacentral:tRNA from 1 species
ACCUGGUUGGCUCAGUUGGUAGAGCAUGUGACUGUUAAUCUCAGGGUCGUGAGUUUGAGUCCCACGGGUG